UACGUAGGGUCCAAGCGUUGUCCGGAUUUAUUGGGCGUAAAGAGCUCGUAGGCGGUUCCGUAAGUCGGAUGUGAAAACUCGGGGCUCAACCCCGAGACGCCAUCCGAUACUGCGGUGACUUGAGUCUGGUAGGGGAACACGGAAUUCCUGGUGUAGCGGUGAAAUGCGCAGAUAUCAGGAAGAACACCCGUGGCGAAGGCGGUUCUCUGGGACGGUACUGACGCUGAGACGCGAAAGCGUGGGGAGCGAACAGG
rnacentral:rRNA from 1 species